UACGUAGGGUGCGAGCGUUAAUCGGAAUUACUGGGCGUAAAGCGUGCGCAGGCGGUUCGUUGUGUCGGUGGUGAAAUCCCCGGGCUUAACCUGGGAAUGGCCAUGGAAACUGGCGAACUGGAGUGUGGCAGAGGGGGGUGGAAUUCCGCGUGUAGCAGUGAAAUGCGUAGAGAUGCGGAGGAACACCGAUGGCGAAGGCAGCCCCCUGGGCCAAUACUGACGCUCAGGCACGAAAGCGUGGGGAGCAAACAGG
rnacentral:rRNA from 1 species